AAAUUGAAGAGUUUGAUCAUGGCUCAGAUUGAACGCUGGCGGCAGGCCUAACACAUGCAAGUCGAGCGGAAACGAGUUAUCUGAACCUUCGGGGGACGAUAACGGCGUCGAGCGGCGGACGGGUGAGUAAUGCCUAGGAAAUUGCCCUGAUGUGGGGGAUAACCAUUGGAAACGAUGGCUAAUACCGCAUGAUGCCUACGGGCCAAAGAGGGGGACCUUCGGGCCUCUCGCGUCAGGAUAUGCCUAGGUGGGAUUAGCUAGUUGGUGAGGUAAGGGCUCACCAAGGCGACGAUCCCUAGCUGGUCUGAGAGGAUGAUCAGCCACACUGGAACUGAGACACGGUCCAGACUCCUACGGGAGGCAGCAGUGGGGAAUAUUGCACAAUGGGCGCAAGCCUGAUGCAGCCAUGCCGCGUGUGUGAAGAAGGCCUUCGGGUUGUAAAGCACUUUCAGUCGUGAGGAAGGUAGUGUAGUUAAUAGCUGCAUUAUUUGACGUUAGCGACAGAAGAAGCACCGGCUAACUCCGUGCCAGCAGCCGCGGUAAUACGGAGGGUGCGAGCGUUAAUCGGAAUUACUGGGCGUAAAGCGCAUGCAGGUGGUUUGUUAAGUCAGAUGUGAAAGCCCGGGGCUCAACCUCGGAAUAGCAUUUGAAACUGGCAGACUAGAGUACUGUAGAGGGGGGUAGAAUUUCAGGUGUAGCGGUGAAAUGCGUAGAGAUCUGAAGGAAUACCGGUGGCGAAGGCGGCCCCCUGGACAGAUACUGACACUCAGAUGCGAAAGCGUGGGGAGCAAACAGGAUUAGAUACCCUGGUAGUCCACGCCGUAAACGAUGUCUACUUGGAGGUUGUGGCCUUGAGCCGUGGCUUUCGGAGCUAACGCGUUAAGUAGACCGCCUGGGGAGUACGGUCGCAAGAUUAAAACUCAAAUGAAUUGACGGGGGCCCGCACAAGCGGUGGAGCAUGUGGUUUAAUUCGAUGCAACGCGAAGAACCUUACCUACUCUUGACAUCCAGAGAACUUUCCAGAGAUGGAUUGGUGCCUUCGGGAACUCUGAGACAGGUGCUGCAUGGCUGUCGUCAGCUCGUGUUGUGAAAUGUUGGGUUAAGUCCCGCAACGAGCGCAACCCUUAUCCUUGUUUGCCAGCGAGUAAUGUCGGGAACUCCAGGGAGACUGCCGGUGAUAAACCGGAGGAAGGUGGGGACGACGUCAAGUCAUCAUGGCCCUUACGAGUAGGGCUACACACGUGCUACAAUGGCGCAUACAGAGGGCGGCCAACUUGCGAAAGUGAGCGAAUCCCAAAAAGUGCGUCGUAGUCCGGAUUGGAGUCUGCAACUCGACUCCAUGAAGUCGGAAUCGCUAGUAAUCGUGGAUCAGAAUGCCACGGUGAAUACGUUCCCGGGCCUUGUACACACCGCCCGUCACACCAUGGGAGUGGGCUGCAAAAGAAGUAGGUAGUUUAACCUUCGGGGGGACGCUUACCACUUUGUGGUUCAUGACUGGGGUGAAGUCGUAACAAGGUAGCGCUAGGGGAACCUGGCGCUGGAUCACCUCCUUAAACGAUGAU
rnacentral:rRNA from 2 species